rnacentral:snoRNA from 1 species
UGCAAUCUAUGAUGCAAGUUAUUUUUUGGUUCUGAGUAACCGUGUUGAUCAUUAAAAUAUCACCAUCUUUCGGCUGAGAUUGCA